rnacentral:misc_RNA from 1 species
GAUGAAGAACGUAGCGAAAUGCGAUAAGUAGUGUGAAUUGCAGAAUUCAGUGAAUCAUCGAAUCUUUGAACGCACAUUGCGCCCCUUGGUAUCACGAGGGGCAUGCCUGUUCGAGCGUCAUUUCACCACUCAAGCCUGGCUUGGUGUUGGGCGACGUCCCCUUUGGGGACGCGCCUCGAAACGCUCGGCGGCGUGGCACCGGCUUUAAGCGUAGCAGAAUCUUUCGCUUUGGAAGUCGGGGCCCCGUCUGCCGGAAGACCUACUCGCAAGGUUGACCUCGGAUCAGGCAGGGAUACCCGCUGAACUUAAGCAUAUCAAUAAGCGGAGGA